GACGAACCGAGCGAACGUUAUUCGGAAUCACUGGGCUUAAAGGGCGCGUAGGCGGAUCGUCAAGUCAGGGGUGAAAGCCCCCAGCUCAACUGGGGAAGUGCCUUUGAUACUGGCGGUCUCGAGGGAGGUAGGGGCGUGCGGAACUUCCGGUGGAGCGGUGAAAUGCGUAGAUAUCGGAAGGAACACCGGUGGCGAAAGCGGCGCGCUGGACCUCUUCUGACGCUGAGGCGCGAAAGCCAGGGGAGCAAACGGG
rnacentral:rRNA from 1 species